rnacentral:rRNA from 2 species
AGGUGCGAUCAUACAGGACUAGUGCACUGGAUCCCAUUACAACUCCACAGAUAAGCGUGCUUGGUUGAGAGUAGUAUUGGGAUGGGUGACCUCCUGGGAAGUCCUCGUGUUGCACCUC